rnacentral:rRNA from 1 species
AACGAACGCUGGCGGCGUGCCUAACACAUGCAAGUCGAACGUGAUUGGAAGCUUGCUUCCAUGAAAGUGGCGCACGGGUGAGUAACGCGUAGAUAAUCUACCUGAUGAUUCGGGAUAACACUUCGAAAGGGGUGCUAAUACCGGAUAAGCCCACGGAGUCCUUGGACACUGCGGGAAAAGGGGGGGAUCGCAAGACCUUCCGUCAUCAGAUGAGUCUGCGUACCAUUAGCUAGUUGGUGGGGUAAAGGCCUACCAAGGCGACGAUGGUUAGCUGGUCUGAGAGGAUGAUCAGCCACACUGGAACUGGGACACGGUCCAGACUCCUACGGGAGGCAGCAGUGGGGAAUUUUGCGCAAUGGGGGAAACCCUGACGCAGCAACGCCGCGUGAGUGAUGAAGGCCCUUGGGUCGUAAAGCUCUGACAGAGGGAAAGAAAUGCAUGGUGGCUAAUAUCCAUUGUGCUUGACGGUACCCUCAAAGGAAGCACCGGCUAACUCCGUGCCAGCCGCCGCAGUAACAC